UUUCUUCUGCAUAAAAAUAUGAACACACAACAAAAUAGCAGUAAAAAUACUCGAUAUCAAAGCGUCACAUGGUGUGUGUGUUUUUUGUUUUUGUUUUUUU